CACGCAUCGGUCACACACUCAAAAAUGAAGUGAGACCGACGCUCUCAUGGGAAGUGUUGACAUACCUUAUUGAUCAUCACCAUAUAAGUCUAGUAAGGAGCACUGUCGGUUGUAUCUGUCGUUUCUUCUGAGAACUGACCAAAUUAAUUUCAACAAAAAAGAUGCAAAGACGUAAUACCGUUCUGUGUGCAUUUCUUGUCCUCUUUGGACAACUGUCUGAAUCCAGUGGAAUUUCAUUAAUGGGUUUAGAAAAGAGAGGUUGGACACUGAAUAGUGCAGGAUACCUCCUUGGGCCAUAUGCACAACGAACGCUGACUGUGAGACAUAGACCCCUACUGGGCAAAAGGAGUGUUUGGGAAGAUGAUGUGAAACCGUUCCAAAACAGUGAAUACAAGUCUGUCAUCGAUGACGCCUACGUUCAAGCUUUUCUGGACUUCAUUACUUACUUACGUCUGAAAGAGAUUGGAGAGAUGGAGGAUUUGAGCACCCAUUAUCUUGCAGAAACGAAGUCAUAAUAUGAAAUCAGUACUCCUCUCCUAUUGUCAAAACAUAAUUUUACACCUCCACCUGUUCCUAUGGUACUCAACUGCUUUUUCAAUGGUAUGACAAAACAAUGUAAAUAAACUUACUUUCUAUUA